UUCAAGUUAGUUGUAUUUAUUUUCUCUUCAUUUGAGCAAUUUUUUAAAAUUUGAAAUUACUUGUAAUAAUACAAUAAUUUAAACAGUUAGUAAGAAUUUGAAAUAAUUUUAGUUUUAACGAGAAGCAUCUAGAACUUUUUUUUCUCCCUCUCCUAUUUACCUUCGAGUAUUUUUCGUCACAUUUUCCUUUCUCUUAGCAUGUUAAUACGUUUUUCUGAGACUCACAUGUCAAUUAGUUUACAAGUUUGUAAAAAAGUCAGCGGAAUUCAGUCCCGCCAUUUUUUCUCUUAUUUCCCUCCAUUUUCCCACGUCAAUGAUUCCCCUCCAUCUAAUUUAAAAAAAAACUGAAACUGCUCGGUUGUUCCACAAAAAUCUGCCCCUCAUCUACUUGACCACCACGCGCACGGUUCCAUCUUCCCCAUCGACACCUCCACUCAUCAUGAACCCCGCCGCCGCCGCAAAGUUCACAUUCCUCCUUGAGACCUUGAUGCGCCAUCUCUCUCUCCACCUAGCAGAGUCGUCUGUCGCCGCCCUCUCUCCACGUAGUUGCGCCGCGGGCGAGCCCUCUGCAUGUCGUUGCUGCAGAGGAACUUCGCCCUGUACUGGUAGAUCGUGCCUCUAGUGGCUGCAUGAUCGAGCACUCCACGGAGGCGAUGCAGCUCGUUGUCCCCAACCCAUUGAUGUGCUCACCAACCUCGCAUGGAAGAUAUCUGAGUUCCCCGUGUGCCGCGUGAUUGGCUCCAUCACCAACCUUCACUCCUCCAAGUUCAGAUUCCUCAUCGCCGAGCACCUCGGUGUCAAUGCGCACAACGUGCAGAUCUUCUCCCCAGUGGCCGAUUUAUUCUCUCUCCCCACAGAAGCGAAGGACCCUCCCCUGCAUUGUCGUCUCCUUUUGGCCCUCCUCUUCUCAGUAGGCCAGCAAGUACACAUCUGAAUGGAGGCAGAUGCGAACUGAGGGGGAUGAGGUCAAGUCUAUUAGCUCGGAUAGAUGUAAGCAAUUUUGACACAUUCUGAAAAAUAGCAUAUAUAAAAGCUACAUAUCUAGCUUCAGGAUUUGAGGUAUUUUGCAGUUUGUAUUAAACAUAAACACCUCUGUUCUUGUUCUUGAUAUAUGUAUGCCCACAUAUGCUUCUGAAAUAUCAUGCAGUAUAAUUUUUAUUUUACUCAAGGACCAAACUUCACGCUUUGAUAUUCUUUUUGUAAUUGUGUGCUAAACAAAAGUAGCUCAAUUAUUGUUAUAUGCAUGCAGAAUUGCAUACAUAUGCUUCUUAAGACAGUGUAAUCUGAAUCUUUUACUUAAGGACCUACCUUCAGACUUUGAGCAAUAUUCUGUACUUAUGAAACAGUUAUGCUCUUGUUUUUGUUAUGUAGAAUGAUCUUAUAAGUUAUAACACCACAACUUCUUAUUUAGCAAAAAGUGCUCAACCUAGACUUUUGCGACAUACAAUUUGAUGAUCCUUAGAUGCACUUUGGACAGCAAAGCAGCAUCUGUUAUUUCAAACACAUGGUGUGCUCCCCUGAUUUGUGUGCACCCUUUUCUUCUAUUAACUAGUGUAGGAUGCAAUUUGUAUGCUGGGCACAUGCAUGACAAGAAGGUCAAAAGAACAGCAAUAGAUGUCUUCUGUUCCACCACAUACCAAGAACAAUGACUUCUGCAACUACCAAACAAGUGUUGGCACUAUAUUAUUUUGAAGAGCUUGGGAAAUCAAAACGAGAAUGUUGCUCUUGCUACACUCUAAAGUAUCGCAAGAAUAUAAAACUGAUGACGUUAAACUUGAUUGCCAAGGUAAAUUGAUGAUGCAUGUCUCACAUUCACUGAACGGUCAAGAACGGGGUUACGUACUUCUAGAUAGCUUCACAUUACGUUUUGGAAUGUUGUUUCCAGAGUUGAUGUUUCAAACAUUAUGAUUUAUGAUGGCCGAGAUACCAAUUGCAAGGCCAAGAAUCGAUGAUAGUUUAAGUCUCGUAAUCUUUGGACCAUGUUGUUUGUAAUGCAACAAAGCCGAUUUAAUAUAAGAGAUCUUUUUAUUUACUA